UACGUAGGGUGCGAGCGUUAAUCGGAAUUACUGGGCGUAAAGCGUGCGCAGGCGGUUUUGUAAGACAGAUGUGAAAUCCCCGGGCUUAACCUGGGAAUAGCAUUUGUGACUGUAGGACUAGAGUGUGUCAGAGGGGGGUGGAAUUCCACGUGUAGCAGUGAAAUGCGUAGAUAUGUGGAGGAACACCAAUGGCGAAGGCAGCCCCCUGGGAUAACACUGACGCUCAUGCACGAAAGCGUGGGGAGCAAACAGG
rnacentral:rRNA from 1 species